rnacentral:lncRNA from 1 species
AGGAGGUCAAGCUGAUUCACAUCAUUUUAAAGGAAGAUGUCCAAAGGCAGAGGACAGAUUUUGACUUGCAGAAGAAUUCUCCAUUAAAUCUGGUGUGAAACGGGAUUUGGUCCAGAGGCCCCAAGAGACAUAACCUGGCAAGGGCUGUUCCUACUACCCGGCUUUGCUCCAGCUAUUUAAGGUGGCAAUGUAGUUUAACCCCCUCCUCUGCUGAGUUUCUACAAGCUCUUUCAAAGAGAAUCCCCGAAGGUGGAGGAGCUGAGAGGUGCUUCCCUAGCCAACCAGGAAAGAAGGGAAGGCUGAAAGAGUAAGUCCAUUCA